UACGGAGGGAGCUAGCGUUGUUCGGAAUUAUUGGGCGUAAAGCGCGCGUAGGCGGCUUUGUAAGUUAGAGGUGAAAGCCCGGGGCUCAACCCCGGAAUUGCCUUUAAGACUGCAUCGCUUGAAUCCGGGAGAGGUGAGUGGAAUUCCGAGUGUAGAGGUGAAAUUCGUAGAUAUUCGGAAGAACACCAGUGGCGAAGGCGGCUCACUGGACCGGCAUUGACGCUGAGGUGCGAAAGCGUGGGGAGCAAACAGG
rnacentral:rRNA from 1 species